CCUUAAACAAUUAAAAACAAGUAAUAAAUGGUUUAAAACGGCGUAAAUUUCCUGUUUUGGCAUGGACGUCGCCAUCUUGAUCGUUGCAAGGGAGUGCAAAUUAUUGAAGUCGUCGGGUCCUGGUCCUACUUAGCCGUGUUUUUGCAGGUAUGUACCUUGGCAUGGUCACUGUCCUGGCUGCCGUGGGUAUACUGAUGGUCAUAAUGCUUUUGAUGGUCUACAAUACGGAAGGGGACGUCAAUCAGUCGAAGUCCGUCUCCGAAGGUUGCGUUCUGCGCUUUCUGAAGUUCACCGCUUGCUGCAUCUGCUCGUCCAAACGUCGCCUUAUCAACCGCGUUCUACGACGGAGAGGGUCGGCUUCAACGGUCCAGGUUUCACCAACACAAGGGAACCAGUCCGCCAGUCGCGGUAACCAGCCAGUGACCGAUAGCUUUGACUGAGAGGCCGAUAUGACCUGGAAGGAGAUAGCCAUUGUCCUGGACAGAUUCGUGUUUGUCGUAUUUCUAGCGUUGUCAAUCUUUAUGAACGUGAGCUGCCUGGUAGGAUUGAUAGUGGGAGCGGACCAAAAGAAACUAUGAUGACGUAACCGUUAUGACGACAUACGCGCUCUAGAACAUCAACCUUUGAUUGUAAUCUAAUAUUGAUUAGCAAUUUCUCUUUAUCCAACAUUAAUUUCUACUAUAUUCAUCAAAUACAGUUUUAACCCAUUACUAUACAAUAGCCUGAUUUUACAAGUUCGUGCAAACGACUCUAGAAAGUAAAGAGGGAAAAUGGGAAAUUGCUGAAGAUUGCUCGAGAUUAGCAAUUUCUCCUCAUCCCACAAUAAUUUCUACCCUACAAAUGGAUGUUGUCAUAUUGUAUAAACAUUUGAAAAAUGUUGUCUGCAAAAAAAGAUAAAUAUUUUGUUACAUUUUUUUUUAUUUUUUUUAUUUUUUUCAUUUAUUUUAUUUAUUCAUUUAUUAAAUUGUUGUUAAACAUUCCAGUCAGUACAGUGAUUCAAGCCCUCGUGGGUCUCUUGUAAUGUUAUGCUUGUUUGUUGUAAUGUGAACAUGUUUAUUGAUAAAUUAAAACCAGUUUUAGUUAUUUAAUAACUUCAUGAUUCAACCAAUUUAAAUGCAAUUUAUGUCACAAGCAAAGUCACAAGUGUUAUUCAUUGCCUGAUCUUUGUCAGCUGAAUAAUACAUGAUGAACUGAUUGUGUUUAAAUAGAAUAAAGACUGAUGAAAGGA